CAAAUAUUUUUUUAUAUUCUUUACAUGAAUAUUUUUGUUGUUAGAUCAAUAUUAUUUGA
rnacentral:tRNA from 1 species